rnacentral:rRNA from 1 species
GACGAACGCUGGCGGCGUGCUUAACACAUGCAAGUCGAACGGAAAGGCCCUGCUUUUGUGGGGUGCUCGAGUGGCGAACGGGUGAGUAACACGUGAGUAACCUGCCCUUGACUUUGGGAUAACUUCAGGAAACUGGGGCUAAUACCGGAUAGGAGCUCCUGCUGCAUGGUGGGGGUUGGAAAGUUUCGGCGGUUGGGGCUGGACUCGCGGCUUAUCAGCUUGUUGGUGGGGUAGUGGCUUACCAAGGCUUUGACGGGUAGCCGGCCUGAGAGGGUGACCGGCCACAUUGGGACUGAGAUACGGCCCAGACUCCUACGGGAGGCAGCAGUGGGGAAUAUUGCACAAUGGGCGGAAGCCUGAUGCAGCAACGCCGCGUGCGGGAUGACGGCCUUCGGGUUGUAAACCGCCUUCGCCUGUGACGAAGCGUGAGUGACGGUAAUGGGUAAAGAAGCACCGGCUAACUACGUG